GAUGAAGAACGCAGCGAAAUGCGAUACGUAAUGUGAAUUGCAAAUUCAGUGAAUCAUCGAGUCUUUGAACGCACAUUGCGCCCCCUGGUAUUCCGGGGGGCAUGCCUGUCCGAGCGUCAUUGCUGCCCUCAAGCACGGCUUGUGUGUUGGGCCCCGUCCUCCGAUCCCGGGGGACGGGCCCGAAAGGCAGCGGCGGCACAGCGUCCGGUCCUCGAGCGUAUGGGGCUUUGUCACCCGCUCUGUAGGCCCGGCCGGCGCUUGCCGAUCAACCCAAAUUUUUUAUCCAGGUUGACCUCGGAUCAGGUAGGGAUACCCGCUGAACUUAAGCAUAUCAAUAAGCGGAGG
rnacentral:misc_RNA from 1 species